rfam:Triticum aestivum genome assembly, contig: Triticum_aestivum_CS42_TGACv1_scaffold_210545_3AS
GUAGUACUCCCUCCGUUCGGAAUUACUUGUCACAAAAAUGGAUGUAUCUACAACUAAAAUACAUCUAGCUACAUUCAUUUCUUGGACGAGUAAUUCUGAAUGGAGGGAGUAUUUA